rnacentral:rRNA from 1 species
UACGUAGGGGGCAAGCGUUGUCCGGAAUCAUUGGGCGUAAAGAGCGUGUAGGCGGCUUGGUAAGUCCGCCGUGAAAGUCCAGGGCUCAACCCUGGAAAGCCGGUGGAAACUGUCAAGCUUGAGUCCGGAAGAGGCGAGUGGAAUUCCUGGUGUAGCGGUGAAAUGCGCAGAUAUCAGGAGGAACACCAAUGGCGAAGGCAGCUCGCUGGGACGGUACUGACGCUGAGACGCGAAAGCGUGGGGAGCAAACAGG